ACGGAGGGUGCAAGCGUUAAUCGGAAUUACUGGGCGUAAAGCGCACGCAGGCGGUUUGUUAAGUCAGAUGUGAAAUCCCCGGGCUCAACCUGGGAACUGCCUUUGAGACUGCAUCGCUUGAAUCCAGGAGAGGUGAGUGGAAUUCCGAGUGUAGAGGUGAAAUUCGUAGAUAUUCGGAAGAACACCAGUGGCGAAGGCGGCUCACUGGACUGGUAUUGACGCUGAGGUGCGAAAGCGUGGGGAGCAAACAG
rnacentral:rRNA from 1 species